AUUAAACGCUGGCGGCAUGCCUUACACAUGCAAGUCGAACGGCAGCACGGGGGCAACCCUGGUGGCGAGUGGCGGACGGGUGAGUAAAGCAUCGGAACGUAUCCUGGAGUGGGGGAUAACGUAGCGAAAGUUACGCUAAUACCGCAUAUUCUGUGAGCAGGAAAGCAGGGGAUCGCAAGACCUUGCGCUCUGGGAGCGGCCGAUGUCGGAUUAGCUAGUUGGUGGGGUAAAGGCCUACCAAGGCGACGAUCCGCAGCGGGUCUGAGAGGAUGAUCCGCCACACUGGGACUGAGACACGGUCCAGACUCCUACGGGAGGCAGCAGUGGGGAAUAUUGCGCAAUGGGCGAAAGCCUGACGCAGCCACGCCGCGUGAGUGAUGAAGGCCUUCGGGUCGUAAAACUCUGUCGGGAGGGACGAAGGGGCGAACCCUGACGGUACCUCGCAAGAAAGCACCGGCUAACUCUGUGCCAGCAGCCGCGGUAAU
rnacentral:rRNA from 1 species